AUGAACGCUGGCGGCGUGCCUAAUACAUGCAAGUCGAGCGAACAGAUGAGGAGCUUGCUCCUCUGACGUUAGCGGCGGACGGGUGAGUAGCACGUGGAUAACCUACCUAUAAGACUGGGAUAACUUCGGGAAACCGGAGCUAAUACCGGAUAAUAUAUUGAACCGCAUGGUUCAAUAGUGAAAGACGGUUUUGCUGUCACUUAUAGAUGGAUCCGCGCCGCAUUAGCUAGUUGGUAAGGUAACGGCUUACCAAGGCAACGAUGCGUAGCCGACCUGAGAGGGUGAUCGGCCACACUGGAACUGAGACACGGUCCAGACUCCUACGGGAGGCAGCAGUAGGGAAUCUUCCGCAAUGGGCGAAAGCCUGACGGAGCAACGCCGCGUGAGUGAUGAAGGUCUUCGGAUCGUAAAACUCUGUUAUUAGGGAAGAACAAAUGUGUAAGUAACUAUGCACGUCUUGACGGUACCUAAUCAGAAAGCCACGGCUAACUACGUG
rnacentral:rRNA from 1 species